rnacentral:rRNA from 1 species
CAGUCGCCGCGGUAAUACAGAGGAUGCAAGCGUUAUCCGGAAUGAUUGGGCGUAAAGGGCUCGCAGGCGGUUUCUUAAGUCUGAUGUGAAAGCCCCCGGCUCAACCGGGGAGGGUCAUUGGAAACUGGGAAACUUGAGUGCAGAAGAGGAGAGUGGAAUUCCACGUGUAGCGGUGAAAUGCGUAGAGAUGUGGAGGAACACCAGUGGCGAAGGCGACUCUCUGGUCUGUAACUGACGCUGAGGAGCGAAAGCGUGGGGAGCGAACAGGAUUAGAGACCCCUGUAGUCCCUGUCUCUUAUAC